UUAAAUUGAAGAGUUUGAUCAUGGCUCAGAUUGAACGCUGGCGGCAGGCCUAACACAUGCAAGUCGAACGGUAACAGGAAGCAGCUUGCUGCUUUGCUGACGAGUGGCGGACGGGUGAGUAAUGUCUGGGAAACUGCCUGAUGGAGGGGGAUAACUACUGGAAACG
rnacentral:rRNA from 5 species